CGGUCAAUAGAACUCAGUGGCCAAGACAAGGAUUUUGUCAUAUGGAAUUUGAGUCUGUAAUAAUAUUAACAAAAAUAGCUUCGAAGAACAGUAAUGUAACUUACAGGAUCAAUGGGAUGUAAGGGGAUACAACACGGAUUUCUACUGCGUGAAUAAUUAAAAGAAGGACAGUCAUGUGUAUAUGCAAAACUUGUUUACAAUAUUAAACUCAGCGUAGAUGAAUAGUUGCCACCAUCAAUUGCCGAUUUGUAGGUCGCAAAUGCGAUGCGUAGCAGAGACACUAAAACGGAUUUUUUUACCGUAAAAUCACAAUUGACGAUGACAACUCUCUAACCAGUCAGGAUUCUACUUCGUCAAAAUUAUCUCCC
rnacentral:lncRNA from 1 species